rnacentral:lncRNA from 1 species
GGUGCAAAGCUUCCUCGUUCCUCCUCCUCCAUUGCGAGCAAGGUUGAAGAAGAAGGAGUUCUUCUUCAAAAAAGUAUGUUGCUGAUCUUCUUCUAAUCAUUAUUGAUAAUCAUGAGAGGUCUCUGCAAGGAGCUAGCACUCCGGUGAGAUCUGAUCUCAGAUAGUCGAGUUCUCGUGUGGAUAUCUGUAGAGGGCGGAUACUUGUGCGGCUCCAAUAGGAACCUCCAAAAAUCAUCAGGCUGCGGUGUUUUUCCAUCCGCACAAAGUUUGAAGAUGGGAUCUUCAAACCUUUGUUUCUAAUUUUUGUUUCAGUUUUGUGAUAUUUAAUCAACCUCCUUCGAUCCUAAUCUUUCCUCCCUCA